rnacentral:lncRNA from 1 species
CAUUGGGAUUUGCAUUUGUUUUCUUCUGCUUAUCAAUGUAAUUUCUCCUUCACAUUUCAUGCUAGCGAAAUUAUUACAAGUGUUUUUUCCCUGAAUGCUUCACCUCUUCAUAUGUGAUGUGAUUAUUAUCCAUAAUAUAGAAGUAGAAUCUGUUUUCUGUCAGUAUUAAAUUAAAGAAGUUUCUAGGCCCUAGUAGAUGUCCAUGGUAAAGAGACUAGAAUGUUCUUUGAUGCAUUCUCUUUGAGAAGAAGAUAUAUGCUUGAUACUACCAGGGGAAGAUGUAGAGCAGUGGUGCUGGCUUCAUCUGAACCCAGUACUUUCAACUAGGAGCAUAAUUUAUGUAUAAAAAUUCACUAAAAUUACAAUGAAUGAUCGGUCUGAAUCCAUAAUGUUUAAAAUACUAUGAUUUCAUUGCUAAGAACCUUAAAGGUUGAACUCAUAAAGUUUAGAUCCUGAAUCCGCCUCUGGAUACUACUGGUUGGCCGUAAUUUAGUUAGUAUGAAUUUUAGCUGCAUUAAGCAAUCACUUUUGAGCUUCAGCAACCCCAGUCGCCUCCCCAAUUUCUUCGCCUUAUCCCUUCUACUUCUUCCUUCCACUUUGAUUGGUUCCCUAUGAUUAGCGCAGGGAAUAAGAAAAGAAAAUACAGUUGGUUACUGUAAUAGAGGUAGUUUGAAGAUAUAUAUAGAUAGUUAGAAAGACGCUACAUUAAUGUUUAAUUAGAAUUACUAAGUGUUUUGAUGAUUCGUGGGAAUGCUAACAUUACUAAGACUAUAAGAAAAGUUUUUAACAUUGCUUUUGCACAUUAUGCAGUUGUAUGCUGUUGUAUGCUGUACAAUCUCACAUGUUCAUUACUUGUGUGCUCUUUGCAUUGGAACUGAUAUUCAGUGGUACUUUUGAAUGUUUACUGUCAAGCCACUUUUACUCCCUUUCUUCUUUUUUGAUUUCAUAUUUAUAGAUUCUUUUAUCUGUCAGUGUAUAUUUCUGUUUCGUUCAUGUAGUAAAUAUAGAUUCUUUUUCUGAGGUUGCAUGGCCGUAGUAAAUAAGUUUUUCUUUCAACACCAUUCUUCUGAUGUUACGAAAAUUUCUAUAAUGUGAUCAACAUAAUGCCAAUUAAAUAUCUUGAAUCGAUAACCAUCUUUCAGCUAACUUAGCCUCCUCCAUCCCUCGGGACCAACAAGGGGUAGUACAUGAAUAUUCACCUGUUGUCCAUCGGCUACGCCUUUCGAUAUGAUCUUAGGCCCUGAAUUUGCGGAGGAAUCCUUGCGCUUCGAGGGCAUUGGAUUCUCAUCGACGUUUGCGUUACUCAAGCUGACAUCUCGCUUCCGCUUCGUCUACCACCGCUCGUGCGGAGGCUUUUCUUUAAGGUGGGACGCUCCCCGACCGAUGUAUUUUUACAUCCCACCAUUUCAGCAGAUCGCUUAGCCCAUUCAUCUUCAGUGCAAGAGCGCUCAAUCAAUAAGCUGUUACACACUUUUUCAAGGGUAGUUGCUUCUAAGCAAACCUUCUUUCUACUUCAACAUCAACUUCGUUAGCUAACUAAUUGAUCCUCGCCCAUCUUUGGCUGCCUUUCAGGAGGAUUAUGUUGGACCUAUGUGAUCUUGUUACAACGUUCUUUUCUUUUUUUUUAAAAAAAAGAGAGAUUUCUGGUGAAAACUUCAAUCCUGGUUAGGCUCUUCUUGUUGGAGUAUCCUUGCUCAGAGGCUAAAGUGAAUUGAAUUCUCUCUUUUCUUUCGGGAGUGCCAAAGAACUGAAGUUCUGUUCUUAAGACUUUAAUCAUGUUUGAUUUUCAUGUUGAAUUUGCAUCAAAAUUGGCCUCCAGAUCAGACCUUUUUAUUUCUUAGAGGACUGUGUAAAUUUGUGAAGAUUUUGAAGACAUCUUGGAUAAGAAAUGAGAAUCAAGAUCUUAACAUCUUAGACUAUUGUGUGCUACAAAAGGGUAAUGUUAAUAGAAUAUAUUUUGAAACCAAAUUUUGAUUGUCUGAAUAUAUAGUGAAGAUCGCAUUGCUGAGAACUUGAACAUAAAAUAGCAUACAAGCCCCUUAGUAGCGAAUAUAGGAUGUAGUUUAUCUGGUUUAAGGUUGUCUUGAUCAGGGAAGAAAAGCACUUAAGAUUUAAGACCAAGUUGUCAUAUCUCUGUUUCUGGCUUUAUCUAUGUCUUAUGUAGGUGGUAUCCGUCCAUAAAGACAUCUUUCAUUAUCUGUUUGAAGUUUAAAGAUGUCGCUCUUAUUACCUUGCAGUGAUGGAUCUUCUAGGAGAGAAUGCUGCAAAACUCUUGAGUAGCUUGGAUGACCUUCCCGUUGGGAGUAUUUGUCACACUUGUAGGAUGCGAUCUUAUUAUGUGGUGUCAGGAACUAAGUUACUAUACUCAAUAUGUACAGGCUAUAUGGAUAUACGGUAAGCUUAAACUUUGAUGUACAAACCUUUUAAACUAUUGUGUUAUCUGCACAUUCUUGCAAGCUGGUUAUCAACUUGAAUAGGAGAACACAAUUCCAUGGAUGCAUCUGAUUUUGACUUUUGAAGAGGGCCCAUCGCUAGGAAAAUUGGCUGUGUCUGUAUGUCUUUGGCUUCAAUGUGAUAGUAAUAUAACUUUGGCUAGUUUUAAAUUAUUUAUUCUACCUACAUCAGGGUGAAGGUGUGAGAAUUCAGAAUAGUGUAUCUUGAAUGGAGUAAUAUUUAUUUGAACAUGAAGUAUUUUCUUUAUAUUGUUUUGUACCUCAAAAUUAGUGAAUGUGACUAAGUGUAGUUUGACUUUAUCUCUUGUCGCAAUUGUUUUUUUGACUGACUUAGCUACACAUUUUUACUAAGGAUGAAAGGACCGUUAUAUGCUUCCUCAACUUUCACUAUCUCCUACUUCCCCUUGAAUGUUCUAGGAUGCCUUGCCUUCCAUCCUGGAAAGCACCAAAAGCAAUUGUGCUCUCUUCCUUCACUUGCUGGGUUCAAGUUAUUUGAUUUUUUCCGAGUCCUGAUGCCAGGACAAGCCUGUUCAAUCCUAGGGAAUGUUGAGCAACAUCCUCGAGAUUGACUGUCAGGCUUUGGCUAAACAACUUCAGUUUCUACACUAAAAGAUAUCGUGAGGAUACUUAAAGAAAUUGUCAAAUCAACCGAGUUGCACCAUCUGAACGCAUAAGACUGACAUUCAUCACUAGGUUACAAAACUUUAUCUUAAUUCACACAGUCAUUUGAAACAUUUUCGUCUUGAGUAUGUCUUUUACGGUUUUACCCAAAAAAAUAAAAAAGAGGGACUAUAACUUCAUUAUACUAAUCAUUGUUUAUGCAAUGUUAUUAAAAGCGAAAAGACAAGGUAUAAGUGGGCUGAUGGAAUUGGGCUUUAGUUAGGCAAGGUCCAUAGAGAGGAACUCUAGGAUAAUAUCCCACCAUUUCAUAUCUCCAUCUCGUUCUGCUUACGAAUUCUAUCCUCAGAGCAGUGAGAACCUCUUCCGUUCGACAAAACCAUCCGAAAACAAACAAGAAAUCAUUUGAGCGCUUGAGUUGGUCCUCAUUUGCAACAGCAUGCAGAAAUGCUUCAGGCCUUCCUGCACCAAAGACAAAGGAUAAAACUUAAGAGAGUUUGCGGUAGUAAGGCUGGCACAAUUACUAAAAACUUUAGUUCGUCUGGGUAAAUCCUAAUAAACAUAAUCCACAAUGCUGUAGAAUGACAACAACAACAACAUACCUAGUGUAAUCCCACAAGUAGGGUCUGGGGAGGGUAGUGUAUAUGCAGACCUUACCCCUACCUUGUGAAGGAGAGAGGCUGUUUCAGUUAGGCUCUCAGCUCAAGAAAAGCAUAAUCACAACAGUUUUGGUUGUAAAAUGAAACCCAUAAAGUCUCAGUGGCAUAGUCUUCUUGAUACAUACUUGAUUUAGAGAACUCAUCUAUUUGACAAAAUAAAGAACUCAUUUUUGUUUUUGUUUUUGAAACCAGCAAAAUAAAGAACUUUUAGCUAUUCAAAAAGCAUAAAGAGACUUCUUAGACUAUCAAGUCGGUAGCAUAAUUUUUUAACAGUAUGAUAUAGAACCCCAAUAAUUAGAAACCAAAAAGCCCCUACAUAACGUGGCAGCUGCAGCAGCAUGUGUUGCAAGGACGUCCAGGCAGUUUCUUGAUUGACAGGGGUUCAGAAUCCAAGUUAGACGGGGGUUAGGUUAUUGGAAGCUUCUUACUUUAAAUGUACAGGAUCUUGCAGCAUUAUAAUUGACAUCUCCUAGUUUUCCUUCAGAGGACGAAGAUUUGCCUCAUCCUGACCGGUCUACAAAUCCUUAAGCUUAAGAACACAAGCACAAAAGGUGGCUUGUUCCUAUUUACCGUAUUCAUGUGUCUUGUUACUACAAGUGACCGAAAUCCUUUUCCAUUGGAUGAGUUGCUAAGUAAGGCAUGGCUUGGCUUCAGAAGCUAGACCCUUUUAUGGGGUUGCAAACAGGGCACACAAAGCUAUUAAAGCUUUGUCCAGAUGCAAGCCCUUACUGCAAAGUGCUAAGUGAGCUUCAUUCAAGAAAAUGUAGAAAUCAUGACUAGAAGUCCCUAUGUACCUCACAAGAUGUGCUUGAAAAUGGAUUUGAAACAAAGAGAUGUUUACUAACAAUCCUAUUUCCCCCAAAAUGUUAAAUAGAUUAACUCAUCAAUUGGAAAACUGGGAGACAACCAUAUGCUUUGUAUGACAUCCAUGAUCAAAGUUUCACCUGUAGGACUGCAGAUAUCGGUCACGUACGGCUGAAUUUCUGCUUAGUGUACAAGUGAAACUUUAAGUCAAUAUCCUUUUUUUUUUUUUUCAUUUUGUAGUAUAUGUAAGUUAAAUGCACCACCUAUGUUAUUAAAUGCAUCAUCUACUUUAUCUAACCAUCAGAUAUAUAUGACCUGAACUCUUUGCAUUUAUUUUACAUUGAGAAAGCUACUAAUAGAAAGUAAAUGAAUGUUUCAGCAGGUAAGUGCAAACUUUGGCUACAAAUAGCCUUUGUGCAUUACAUACAGAUUCAUAGCAAUAGUUGAGUGUGUUAUUUUGAAAAUGUCUGAUGAAACUGGAACCAGUAAACUCUAUGAAAAGAUUUAUGAAGAAGUUUGAGUCUUUGAAGGCUGAUUGGAAAUAAAUGAAACCAAAGUUUUCUGCUGAUCCUUCAUUCCAGGCAAGAUUGGAAAUUGAUAGGAAUAAGUUAGGCUUUGAAACCUCUUUCGACAGAAUGAUGCAACAGUUCGAUUCUUGAGGGAGUCUAUGAGGGCUGACUAUGGUAAGAUAGAAAGAGUUGUGCACUCUCUUCCUUUUUCUAUGGAUAAAAUAAAAAUCGAACAGAAGCAGUUGGAUGAUGAAUUCAAUCGUUUGAUGCGUGUUGUUAUGCAGCUUAGAGGUGUUUUUCCCGAUUCUCUAUGAUCAUCUCUGAUUUUGAUGAUAAUGCAAGAGUUAUCUCAGAUUCUGAUGAUGAAUUAAUUAGAGAAGUUGAUGAGUAUCACCGUCCGAGUUUUAUGCACUCUUCGUUUCUUAAAAAAUUAAAAGAAAGUCAUGAUCAUUGUUUGUGCUUUAGAUCUUGGUUCAGAAUUGAGUCCACCUCCUCUACUAUGCGAAAAAUAAAGUCAGUUUUAACUUUGUGGAGUGAUUUUCUUGAUGAUUCCAUAUAUGUAGGUCAUUGGUUCUCAUGUUUCAUCUGUCAUCAGUAUUUCACUAGUACACACUUUCAUUUUAAAGAACUAGUUUCAAAAGCACUGCCAGUAUGUUGAGGAACUAGCUACAUGGAGCUUGUUUUUCACAAGUAGAGGAACGUGUGACUAGUGAAACCGAUUCUAAUUGCUUCUCUUAAUGCAUGCAUUUGCAAAUUGAGCUUAUAACAAUGUAGAUAGUGUUGUUGCAAACUCUUGUUCCUUGACCGAUAGAAAGAUAUUAUAUUUAGGAUCACUUACUCCUCAGUAUUCACCAGGAGCUAUUACUAGGUAUAUGUUUGUGAAACUUACUGUGCUUUGCAGCAUGAAAGUGUAGAAUUUUUGUUGGUGUUCAUGGAAUGUAGUAUUUUUUAGGGUUGGAGAAGUCAAAUAUUCCUUGGAUGCAGACCAUUCCUCAGGAUUCACCCUCAUUUUCCUUUGAUGGGUGCCUGCCUUCUAGUUGGACCAUUCCUCUUUCUGAACUCAUCACUCUAAUCUCGGAAAUGAUAUUUCUGGAACACUUGUUCGUGGGAAAAACCUCUUUCGCUAUAGCGGUUUUUAUUGUGUAAGUAGAGGGUUAAAAACUUCAUAUGUAUGUGACUGCUGAACUGGAUUGAUGCUAUAUGCAUAGCAGUCUUGCCUCGCUAACUAGCCGUCCUCUUAUCCUUUUUCGUGCAUGUGUUCUUCAAGUGUCUGAUAGUGUUAUCUCUCUUGAUCAUCAGUUAUCGUUAUGAAAGGAGCUUUGUCAACAAAAUCGUACAUUUCUGGGAGCAUGCUGACCAAAGAAUAAAGUCACUCUAGCGAGAUCAAUUUACCCUACCAUCAAUUCUCAGACUUAUGGAUGCUCUAUCUUGAGAUUCACUUUGACAUGGUACCUCCGUGUGCUGGUAAAACCGUGAGUUUAGCUAAAGCAUGAUUAGCAUUUAUUCUUUCAACAGUAAGAUGGCAGUCC